rnacentral:rRNA from 1 species
AGAGCGAACGCUGGCGGCAGGCUUAACACAUGCAAGUCGAGCGCCCCGCAAGGGGAGCGGCAGACGGGAGAGUAACACGUGGGAACGUACCUUUCGGUUCGGAACAACCCAGGGAAACUUGGGCUAAUACCGGAUACGCCCGCAAGGGGAAAGAUUUAUCGCCGGAAGAUCGGCCCGCGUCUGAUUAGCUAGUUGGUGAGGUAACGGCUCACAAAGGCGACGAUCAGUAGCUGGUCUGAGAGGAUGAUCAGCCUCACUGGGACUGAGACACGGCCCAGACUCCUACGGGAGGCAGCAGUGGGGAAUAUUGGACAAUGGGCGCAAGCCUGAUCCAGCCAUGCCGCGUGGGUGAUGAAGGCCCUAGGGUUGUAAAGCCCUUUCGGCGGGAAGAUAAUGACGGUACCGCAGAAGAAGCCCGGCUAACUUCGUGCCAGCAGCCGC